UACAGAGGGGGCAAGCGUUGUUCGGAAUUACUGGGCGUAAAGGGCGCGUAGGCGGCCUGGUAAGUCGGCCGUGAAAUCCCCGGGCUCAACCCGGGAACUGCGUCCUAGACUGGCAGGCUCGAAUCCGGGAGAGGGAUGUGGAAUUCCAGGUGUAGCGGUGAAAUGCGUAAAUAUCUGGAGGAACACCGGUGGCGAAGGCGGCAUCCUGGACCGGCAUUGACGCUGAGGCGCGAAAGCCAGGGGAGCAAACGGG
rnacentral:misc_RNA from 1 species